GCCUGGCCCCGCCAUUGUAGUUCUCUUUGGGCGAGGAAUUGUUGGAAGUAGAUAUGAGUGUACUGUGUCUGUCGGGAGCAACGCGGUCUACGCUUAAAAGAAGGGAUAGUGGAGGUUCCCUGCGCUCCGGCCAUCUUUGCACGGCAGGGCCCUGAUUCUCGCAGGCGGGUCUUCAGCGCCACGAGGGGAUAUAAGAGGUUCAGCGAUGUGUUAUCCUCGAAUAAAACAUGAGCUCUGGAAGCCCAGCCAGCAGGGGUCUGCCACUAAAGUAGUGUGCUGAGAGCCUGAGGUUACACUCCUCUUGGAGCAGUGCUGUUGAGAUGGCUGGGAUGCCUAGGUAAUGGUUCCUGCCACUUCGGGCUAUGAAAAGAAGAGCCUCGGUGUUUAUCCCUGGCUACUGUGGGUUUUGCUGACAAAAAGGAUGCCCUCUUUACCUGGUGUUGGGAACUUACAUCUUUCCUGCAUUGACCUGUGUGAGCAGCUGUCAGUUUAUUGGAGGCAAAAACAAAUAUGGGGCGCUUAAAUAUCAGUUAGCUUUCACUUCUUUGUCUUAAAACAAGUAUUUGGUUUUAUCAGAAGGAUUCUAAUAAAGUAUUUCAAAGCAAA